rnacentral:rRNA from 3 species
AGCGACCUCAGGUCAGGCGG